UACGUAGGGCGCAAGCGUUGUCCGGAAUUACUGGGCGUAAAGAGCUCGUAGGUGGUUUGUCGCGUUGUUCGUGAAAACUCACAGCUUAACUGUGGGCGUGCGGGCGAUACGGGCAGACUUGAGUACUGCAGGGGAGACUGGAAUUCCUGGUGUAGCGGUGGAAUGCGCAGAUAUCAGGAGGAACACCGGUGGCGAAGGCGGGUCUCUGGGCAGUAACUGACGCUGAGGAGCGAAAGCGUGGGGAGCGAACAGG
rnacentral:rRNA from 1 species